GGAGAGUGGGGGAUGCGAAACGGACUCCGUCCCCUGCAGAGCCGGUGCCUUCGGGGGCUGCACCGCCGCGCGCUCCCACCCGCAAGGUUUGCAGGACACACCAAAGAACAUUCCCCUCGUGCAAGAGAGAAAAUGAAACUCUCUCCUGGUCUCUAUCAGGAAAGCUAAAAUUCCCCCCUUUCCUUCAAGUUUCCCAAACCUUGUGAAGAUGAUUUUCAGAUCAAAGAUAACCAGAAGAAAAGAACAGCCUUCUAAGAGUGAGGCCCUCAAGACAUUUCCAAACUGCCUGGACAAAGGCUUGGAGUGACUACAAUAGUGAACCAUCCUGCCUUGGACCCGAAUCUAGAUUAAUGACCUAAUACAUCUUUUCCAACUCUGACUGCCAUGGUUUUAUGAGCAUCAAGAACUGGGUGUCUGCCAUUGUCAACAAGUAGAACUUCUUCAGGGCUUGAACAUCCAUAGAAGCUCAAGUACCCCCCAAAACAGAGAUCGCAGAGUCUCCCAGGGCUCUGGGUGUGACCUCUAGCUUUCACCUGUGACACAAACUACUCUUUGGCAGGAUAGUCCUUAAAGGAAAGGAAGUGUGCCUGUACCCUCCUCUGUUAUCUCCAUUUAAGAACUCUGAGUCAGAGCAGGGCAGAUCUCUGAGAAGCCAAUUAAGCUUAGCUUAAGGGCCUGUCCUUUUCAGGGGCCCCUUCAGAAGUGCUGUACCUAAUUUUGUAUUUGCAAUUUUGCAUUCUUCUUAACAAAGAGUCCCCUUAAUUGUAUAAGCUAUAGCUGCCCAUCCCCCUCACCCCCACUCACUGCCCCCCCACCCAGUGCCAUAAUAGGAAUCUGCCCCUGAGCUAGGUUGAUUGCACCAAAUCUUAGUUUGAUAAAAGUGUAAAAAUUAAACACAAACUCCCUUCAUCUUUUUUUUUUUAUAAGUUUAUUUAUUUAUUUAUUUAUGAUAGCCACACGGAGAGAAAGAGAGAGGCAGAGACACAGGCAGAGGGAGAAACAGGCUCCAUGCACCAGGAGCCCAACGUGGGAUUCGAUCCCAGGUCUCCAGGAUCGCGCCCUGGGCCAAAGGCAGGCGCUAAACCGCUGUGCCACCCAGGGAUCCCUCUUCAUCUUUUAUGCCAUCCCACUCCUUACCCCACCUCUGGCAAGUCACGGUUAAAGUGACCUCUUAGAGUCUCGGGUCCUCAGUUGUCCUCUCAACUACAGCAGUGCUUCAAACACUGGUUGCAUUUUAAAUUUAUUCUCCUUAACUCCACUUUAAAAGCAUAUUUCAUUGUGGGUUAAUUAUUACAAUGGCUUGUAGACUUGAAACGUCAGAAGAAUUUCCAUGAGUGGCCCCUCCUGGGUUAAGCAGCAUCCCUGCUCCAAUUUCAGUGAAGUUUUGUUUUCCAGUAAAGUUAAUGGGUUUGGACUAGCCUUCUACACUUUUGUAACGGGGUUCUCCAGGGACCAAGCUGCAGAAACAUGUAUUUUUUCUGAUUACAAAAGUAAUGGCCUAUCUAUGUAAAUAUAUAUACACACACAUAUAAAUAACUUAAAACAUGGUAGUAAUAUAUAACAUUGAAAGUGAAAAUCUUCCAUAAUCCCACACAGCUGAGAAAACCAGUUAACGUUUUUUUUUUUCAAGGCAUAUAUUAAAAUUUCAUUUAUUAUUUUACAAAAGAUGGGAUUAUAGUUCAACUUUGAAGCAUGCUACUUUCCACCUAGCAAUAGGUCUUAGACAUCUUUCCAUGCCGGUCUGACAAAAGUGAUCUUUUUAAAAUCUUCUUUUUAAUGGCUCCAUGGUAUUGUACUGGAUGGCCAAACCAUACUAUCUUUAACCAAUUGCCUGUUAAUGGACGUUUGGGUUCUUUCCAGUUUUCCCUCUACCAAAUAUUCUUGCAAACAGCAUUUUACACUUACAUCUUUGAGCCGUCGUAGGAGUAUUUCUCUAUGAUGAAUUCCCAGAAGGUGAAUUAUUAUUGGGUCAGAGGGUAUGAGCAUUUCAUUUUUAACAGCUCUUGCCAAAUUGCCCUCCAAUAAUUUUAUACCGAUUUACACCUUCAACCACACUGUAAGAAGGAGCCUGUUUCCCCAUCCCCCUUAGCAACACUAAAACCAUGCAAUUUAGGGAUGUCUGAUGUGAGUUAGGAGUUAAGAGGUUCAGCCUGUGGAGUUUUUUGCCUUUGUGAAAAGCUAACAAAGACAUCAAAAGUCUCCCCCUUUCCUUGGUGAACCCCCUGCUCCGAGUGAGCCAAUACCCAGACAGACAUCUAGCUAAUGUGAGAGGUAAAAAUUCUAACACCUAAUGCUUGUAUCUAGCUGGAUUUUGUCAGAGAUAAUUUGAGUGUAUAAGCAAAUGUGUUAGUUAUAGAAUACUUAAUAACUUAAUUAUUCAAGAAAUAUAAAUCGGUCCUGACCUUAGCACUGCUGUUUUAGUGUAAACAACACAUUUAAUCUUAGAGCAUCAGUAUGUUUACAUGUGCAAAGUUCCUUGAUUUCAUCUUUACGUUUAUUGGUGCAGAGUAAUUUGAAAAAUCUAUUCUUUAAAGAUAGUGAAAGGUGGCUUUGAUUCAGCCAAUUAAAGAAGAGCAAGUUUUGCCAAUAUCCAGGCUUCAGGAACUUGUUUUGAGGAUUGCUAUGGUUUACAACCCUCAGAAUUAGGAUCAUUGGGUAUCAGACAGGAAAAAACCUUUAGGGGUUAUCCAGUCAAAAGAUUUUGAAACUCUGCUCCACAAAGCCUUGGGGUUGCUUCAGGGAGACAGAAGGGGUUGGUGGAAGAUGAGGCAGCCCAUGGUUAAAGGUUCAUGGUAUUCCAAACCUAAUUGCACCACAAGACCCUGCUUUGAUCUGCUUCAUAUGGUGAGUUAUAUAGUAUGCUAUCUGGAGCAAGUUGAUCUCUUAUUUUCCUCUUCUGUAAAACAGAGACGAUAACGGUGUCUAUUUAAGAGUAGUGAGAAUUAAAUCAAGUAAUACUAUACAUGUAUAGGGUUUAGCCCAGUGCCCCGCACAUGCCAACGACUCAAGAAAUGUUUGCUAAUCUAUUAUUUAAGAUUUUCCUUUGAAAAAGGAUUCCGUUGCUUACGUUUCAAAAUGACCUGUUUGCUUUUGCAUCUAUAAAAUAAAGUGAUUACUUUG